rnacentral:antisense_RNA from 1 species
GAAGAAACUGAGGUUAAGGUCGCGAUGCUCUGGCCAGCAUCACAGGUAAACGAUUUUGGCAGUGCCCGGAGAAGGAUAGAAGGGCCUCUCUCUGAGAUCGGGUCCUUCUCCUGCAGGGCAGCAGAGUGGAAGCCAGGGCCUGGGACCCUCUGGUUGGGCAAGGAGGGACUGGAGUCCGGCUCCCGGCGACCCCGUCCCCAGUGCCAGCGGCGGGGUCGCCCGUGGCGGCCCGGACAGGCCACGGGUCCCUCUCCACAAGUCCCAUUACGUUGUAUUUAUGUUUCGUGUUAUUGUUUUUUUUUUCUCCUCCCUUAUUAUUGUCUCACUCUGGGGGAGGCAAAGGAUAUAAUAUAUUCAUCUUUAUUAUACCAAAUCUGUGUGAAGCAUUUAAUAAAACGCUGUUUCCACACAGCCAGGGAUA